GCUGAGUUCUGUUUGAUGGAGGUGAUGAUGGAGUUCUCAGAUUGCUCCAGCCUACUUUUCAUACUGCACACAGAAUGUGUUUGCAGUAAAGGCAGACAGUUCAUCCCAUGUCCAGUGAAGGCCAUGGAUAAGCAAGUCCAUUUGGGCAGCCCCAGAAGCAAGGAUGUCGUGACAGAUCCCAAGAUGGUUCAGAGAGGCCACCCUGUACCUAACUACAGUGUCCUCAGGUCGUCUUCGUAGUCACAGGUGAGUGUGUUGAGGCGUGCAGGCGUGUGCUAGGCGUAGGUGCUGCUUGGAACCUGUUGCAAAUGGUAUCGUAAUGUAUUAGGUAUGUUCCAACCCUUCUCCAACAGUUCAUGUCUCGUGGAAAUACUGUUACAC